UAGGGAAUAUUGCAUAAUGGGCGAAAGCCUGAUGCAGCAACGCCGCGUGUGCGUUGAAGGCCUUCGGGUCGUAAAGCACUUUUUGAGAGGAUGAGGAAGGCCAGUACUCUCAGAAUAAGCCUCGGCUAACUACGUGCCAGCAGCCGCGGUAAAACGUAGGAGGCGAGCGUUAUCCGGAUUUACUGGGCGUAAAGCGCGUGCAGGCGGUAAGGAAAGUUGGAUGUGAAAGCUCCUGGCUUAACUGGGAGAGGUCGUUCAAAACUACCUGACGAGAGUGUAGGAGAGGGAGGCGGAAUUCCGGGCGUAGAGGUGAAAUGCGUAGAUAUCCGGAGGAACACCAGUGGCGAAAGCGACCACCUUGCCAAAGACUGACGCUCAGACGCGAAGGCUAGGGCAGCAAACG
rnacentral:rRNA from 1 species